CUACCCUUGACAUGUCCGGAAUCCUGCAGAGAUGCGGGAGUGCCCGAAAGGGAAUCGGAACACAGGUGCUGCAUGGCUGUCGUCAGCUCGUGUCGUGAGAUGUUGGGUUAAGUCCCGCAACGAGCGCAACCCUUAUCAUUAGUUGCUACGCAAGGGCACUCUAAUGGGACCGCCGGUGACAAACCGGAGGAAGGUGGGGAUGACGUCAAGUCCUCAUGGCCCUUAUGGGUAGGGCUUCACACGUCAUACAAUGGUCGGUACAGAGGGUUGCCAAGCCGCGAGGUGGAGCCAAUCCCAGAAAGCCGAUCGUAGUCCGGAUUGUUCUCUGCAACUCGAGAGCAUGAAGUCGGAAUCGCUAGUAAUCGCGGAUCAGCAUGUCGCGGUGAAUACGUUCCC
rnacentral:rRNA from 1 species